GCCUUUGUGGUGUAGUGGUCAGCACGCUCGACUUGCUUUCGAAGGGCUGUGGUUUGAGUCCCGGCGAGGGUA
rnacentral:tRNA from 1 species